GAUGAAGAACGCAGCGAAAUGCGAUAAGUAGUGUGAAUUGCAGAAUUCAGUGAAUCAUCGAAUCUUUGAACGCACAUUGCGCCCUUUGGUAUUCCUUAGGGCAUGCCUGUUCGAGCGUCAUUUCAACCCUCAAGCCCUGCUUGGUGUUGGGCGUUUGUCCUGCCUCCGCGCGGGACUCGCCUCAAAGACAUUGGCGGCCGGUUUCCCUUUGCAGGCCACGAGCGCAGGACAGCGAGCGCUCUACGUGGACGCGGGGUCGGCGCACCAGAAGCCCUCUUUCUCGAAUUUUGACCUCGGAUCAGGUAGGGAUACCCGCUGAACUUAAGCAUAUCAAUAAGCGGAGGA
rnacentral:misc_RNA from 1 species